CACUCCUGCGGGAGGCAGCAGUGGGGAAUAUUGGACAAUGGGCGCAAGCCUGAUCCAGCCAUGCCGCGUGAGUGAUGAAGGCCCUAGGGUUGUAAAGCUCUUUCACCGGUGAAGAUAAUGACGGUAACCGGAGAAGAAGCCCCGGCUAACUUCGUGCCAGCAGCCGCGGUAAUACGAAGGGGGCUAGCGUUGUUCGGAUUUACUGGGCGUAAAGCGCACGUAGGCGGACUAUUAAGUCAGGGGUGAAAUCCCGGGGCUCAACCCCGGAACUGCCUUUGAUACUGGUAGUCUUGAGUUCGAGAGAGGUGAGUGGAAUUCCGAGUGUAGAGGUGAAAUUCGUAGAUAUUCGGAGGAACACCAGUGGCGAAGGCGGCUCACUGGCUCGAUACUGACGCUGAGGUGCGAAAGCGUGGGGAGCAAACAGGAUUAGAAACCCGAGUAGUCC
rnacentral:rRNA from 1 species